UACGUAGGCAGCGAGCGUUGUUCGGAAUUACUGGGCGUAAAGAGCGUGUAGGCGGUGCUUUAAGUUCGGUGUGAAAUCUCCCGGCUUAACUGGGAGGGUGCGCCGGAAACUGGAGUGCUCGAGCGUGGGAGAGGAAAGCGGAAUUCCUGGUGUAGCGGUGAAAUGCGUAGAUAUCAGGAGGAACACCUGCGGUGUAGACGGCUUUCUGGACCAUUGCUGACGCUGAGACCCGAAAGCGUGGGUAGCAAACAGG
rnacentral:rRNA from 1 species